CCUACGGGAGGCAGCAGUGGGGAAUCUUGGACAAUGGGGGCAACCCUGAUCCAGCCAUGCCGCGUGAGUGAUGAAGGCCUUAGGGUCGUAAAGCUCUUUCGCCUGUGAAGAUAAUGACGGUAGCAGGUAAAGAAACCCCGGCUAACUCCGUGCCAGCAGCCGCGGUAAUA
rnacentral:rRNA from 1 species